CCAACAACUCCUCCUAUAAAUUCAUCAUAAAUACAUAGUUAGCGAAAUUCACUUUCACAAUACAAGCGGCGCCUCUUGCACACGUCUCUUCUAGCCUCUCUUUCAUUGUUAUAAUUUAUUUGGUUUGUCACGCUGAUCUGGUUAUAUGAUAUAUAAGGAUCUAUUGCGCGAUAACAAAACUUAAUUCAUGGACUAUCGUCUCCGGCAUGAUCGAAUGAAAAUCAUUGAUGUUGUCAUAUACAUCUAUGUAUUAUCUAUUACGAUUUGCUCUAUAGUUCAUUUUUGCAAUGUCCAAAGCAAAUCUCUAACGAGUGUGAUUUCUCUGAUUAAAUAUUGGAAAACGGUAAGAAGCAAAAAUGGGUCAUCAACACCAUUUGGAUAGCUGGUAGAAUGAAGACAACAGUCUUAUUUGUGAUGACGAUCAUCAACCACGGAUCGAUUAGCUCUUGAGCUUGAGUUGAGGAAUAAUCAUCAUGGAAACACAAACAUGAUUGCAACUAGUGGUGGUGAUGAUCAUCAUCAUUAUUAUCCACAUCCAAUGGUACCUUAAAAUAUAAUGAUACUAAUGCUUCUUCUUCCAUUUCCUCUUGUUCUUCUUCUUCUACUUCAUCAUCUUCUUCUUCAUCUUUUUCUUCAUUAUCAUCAUCGUCAUCAUCAUCAUCAUCCUCUUCUAUCCACCAAGACUUUUUUGAUCGAUUCAUCCUACUACUCACAAUGCUUUGGAGCAAAACAACAACCACAACACUUCUCAUUUCAUCAAUGAAGGCAUCAUGCUUAUCGUUUUUGUGGACAUACUUGAGACAACAGUCCCAUUCGUGAUGAGAGAGCUCUAAGAUAUAUUUUGGUUGUUAACUAUGCAGCUAAUUCUUCUUCUGCUAGUAGUUUUAAUAAUCACAAACAUUACUCUUACAACCAGCGUAAUGCUAGGCUACAAAUGUAACAGCUUGUGCAAUUUAUUUUGUUGGUUUUUGUUUGUAGAAUUUGGAUGAUUUUGUGUUAGUACCAUCCUUAAUGCCUUGUGAUUCUGAUGGUGUACGAAAAUAAAAAUACUUCAGCUAUAAAUAGGACAAGACUGUCUUUGAUUUAUCACCACAUUUUACCUUA